UACGUCGGGGGCAAGCGUUGUUCGGAUUUACUGGGCGAAAAGCGCGCGUAGGCGGCGCGUAAAGUCGGACAUGAAAUCAUUGGGCUUAACCCAAUGGCUCUGCCCGAUACUUGCGUUCUUAGAGUGCGGGUGAGCCAAUCGGAAUUCUAGGUGUAGCGGUGAAAUGCGUAGAUAUCGAGAGGAGCUCCAGUGACGAAGGUGGGUUGCUGGGCCGACACUGCCGCUGAGGCGCGAAAGUUAGGGGAGCAAACGGG
rnacentral:rRNA from 1 species